ensembl:piRNA 21ur-819 ncRNA
UAGUUUCUUUUAGAUUUUGUG